rnacentral:rRNA from 1 species
UGCUGGGUAGGGGAGCGUUCUGUAAGCCUGCGAAGGUGGCCUGUGAGGGUUGCUGGAGGUAUCAGAAGUGCGAAUGCUGACAUAAGUAACGAUAAAGCGGGUGAAAAGCCCGCUCGCCGGAAGACCAAGGGUUCCUGUCCAACGUUAAUCGGGGCAGGGUGAGUCGACCCCUAAGGCGAGGCCGAAAGGCGUAGUCGAUGGGAAACGGGUUAAUAUUCCCGUACUUGGUGUUACUGCGAAGGGGGGACGGAGAAGGCUAUGUUGGCCGGGCGACGGUUGUCCCGGUUUAAGCGUGUAGGUGUGUGUUCCAGGUAAAUCCGGUUCACUUUAACACUGAGGCGUGACGACGAGGCACUACGGUGCUGAAGCAACAAAUGCCCUGCUUCCAGGAAAAGCCUCUAAGCAUCAGGUAACAUCAAAUCGUACCCCAAACCGACACAGGUGGUCAGGUAGAGAAUACCAAGGCGCUUGAGAGAACUCGGGUGAAGGAACUAGGCAAAAUGGUGCCGUAACUUCGGGAGAAGGCACGCUGACACGUAGGUGAAGUGAUUUACUCAUGGAGCUGAAGUCAGUCGAAGAUACCAGCUGGCUGCAACUGUUUAUUAAAAACACAGCACUGUGCAAACACGAAAGUGGACGUAUACGGUGUGACGCCUGCCCGGUGCCGGAAGGUUAAUUGAUGGGGUCAGCGCAAGCGAAGCUCCUGAUCGAAGCCCCGGUAAACGGCGGCCGUAACUAUAACGGUCCUAAGGUAGCGAAAUUCCUUGUCGGGUAAGUUCCGACCUGCACGAAUGGCGUAAUGAUGGCCAGGCUGUCUCCACCCGAGACUCAGUGAAAUUGAACUCGCUGUGAAGAUGCAGUGUACCCGCGGCAAGACGGAAAGACCCCGUGAACCUUU